rnacentral:tRNA from 1 species
GCGCCAGUGGUUUAGUGGUAAAAUCCAUCGUUGCCAUAAAACAGCAUAUUCGAUGGGCCCCGCGUUCGAUUCGCGGCUGGCGCA